rnacentral:rRNA from 1 species
AUUGAACGCUAGCGGGAUGCCUUACACAUGCAAGUCGAACGGAGUGGCGAACGGGUGAGUAAUGUAUCGGAACGUGCACAGUAGCGGGGGAUAACUACGCGAAAGCGUAGCUAAUACCGCAUACUAUUGGAGCGGCCUAUAUCGGAUUAGCUAGUUGGUGGGGUAACGGCUCACCCAGGCGACGAUCCCUAGCUGGUUUGAGAGGACGACCAGCCACACUGGUACUGAGACACGGCCCAGACUCCUACGGGAGGCAGCAGUGGGGAAUUUUGGACAAUGGGGGAAAGCCUGAUUCAGCCAUGCCGCGUGUGCGAUGAAGGCCUUCGGGUUGUAAAGCACUUUUGGCAGGGAAGCGGUACCUGCAGAAGAAGCACCGGCUAACUACGUGCCAGCAGCCGCGGUAAUUC